AUUGAACGCUGGCGGCAGGCCUAACACAUGCAAGUCGAGCGAGCGGCGGACGGGUGAGUAAUGUAUGGGGAUCUGCCUGAUGGCGGGGGAUAACUACUGGAAACGGUAGCUAAUACCGCAUACCAUCAGAUGACCCCAUAUGGGAUGAGCUUGUAGGUGAGGUAACGGCUCACCUAGGCGACGAUCCCUAGCUGGUCUGAGAGGAUGAACAGCAACACUGGGACUGGGAAAUGGCCAAGACGCUUACGGGAGGCAGCAGUGGGGAAUAUUGCACAAUGGGCGCAAGCCUGAUGCAGCCAUGCCGCGUGUAUGAAGAAGGACUUCGGGUUGUAAAGUACUUUCAGUCUGGAGGCGUUACCGACAGAAGAAGCACCGGCUAACUCCGUGCCAGCAGCCGCGGUAAUUC
rnacentral:rRNA from 1 species